rnacentral:rRNA from 1 species
UACGUAGGGUGCGAGCGUUGUCCGGAAUUAUUGGGCGUAAAGGGCUCGUAGGCGGUCUGUCGCGUCGGGGAGUGAAAACUCAGGGCUUAACCCUGAGCCUGCUUCCGAUACGGGCAGACUAGAGGUAUGCAGGGGGAGAACGGAAUUCCUGGUGUAGCGGUGGAAUGCGCAGAUAUCAGGAGGAACACCGGUGGCGAAGGCGGUUCUCUGGGCAUUACCUGACGCUGAGGAGCGAAAGUGUGGGGGAGCGAACAGG